rnacentral:lncRNA from 1 species
AAAACCCUAGCCGCAUCCUCGGGUCGACCGUCCUCGCGCUCCCCACCUCGUCUAUCGCGAGAGGCGGAGACGGCGGCGGCGGCCGCGGAAGCGCGACGCCUUGCCUGUCCGCCUCGCCUUUCUUUCCUCCCUCUCGCUCCUUAUUCCGCCGGCCACUUCCCGCUGCGAUCAACCGAUGCCAUACACAGCCUCGCUUCCUCACUUCGCUGUCUUGCUCGCCACCAUUUGAACCCUAGGUCCUGCUGGAGCAGGAGGUGGUGGGAUUUGGCCGUUGAUGCGCCGCCGUGGAUAUGGGCCUCCCGUAUUUCUAUCUCAAGUGCGACCAAAGCAUCGGCUUUAGCCAUCUACGCUGCUCAGAUGUGCACCUCGGUUCCCUCCACAGGAUCUACUCGGCCAUCUGCCCUAUCACCAUCUUCCACAUCCCCAGAGCAAUGA